rnacentral:sRNA from 1 species
UACGACAAAAUAAGGUCAUUCAUUUAAGCUAAAAGCGGGCGGUUUUCUUCUAGAGAAAACCAGUCCGGAGUAGAAAAGCUUACAUGGGAAAAAAUAGAACCUCGUGCUCUUGCCUUCUUAGCAAGACAAUCAGCACAAACAUUGUUUAAACGUGGAAUAAAAGAUAAAAAAAAACGAGGAAAGUUAGGCUUUAAAGAAUAAAAAUUUUUUAACUCAGAAGAAAAAGCGGGCCACUCAUCAGGAGUGUCCAAAAGUUGCGUCAACUCCUUGCAAUUAGUUUUUUUUUAUCAUAAU